UCAAAGUUGAACACCAAACGCCGGAAAGC
rnacentral:sRNA from 1 species